GGUCUUUUCGACGGCCUUGCCGCCGAGCGGGAUCUUGGAGAUCCCGAGGUCGGUCGGCUUGACCAUCUGGUUGGUGCCGUCCCCGUUGGAGACCA
rnacentral:tRNA from 1 species